UACGGAGGGUGCAAGCGUUAUCCGGAUUCACUGGGUUUAAAGGGCGCGUAGGCGGCCUUCUAAGUCGAACGUGAAAUCCCCGGGCUCAACCCGGGAACUGCGUCCGAGACUGAAAGGCUUGAAUCCGGGAGAGGGAUGUGGAAUUCCAGGUGUAGCGGUGAAAUGCGUAGAUAUCUGGAGGAACAUCGGUGGCGAAGGCGGCAUCCUGGACCGGUAUUGACGCUGAGGCGCGAAAGCCAGGGGAGCAAACGGG
rnacentral:rRNA from 1 species